GAGUCUCUAAACCUCUGACUACAGCCUAUCGAUUCUUUCUUUAGGUAUUGGUCACGGAGAACUCUGUCAUCCUCAUUCUCAUGCUUUUGCUGGGAAGAAGAACACCAAGUGGCAUGGAGUUCAUUCUUACCUUUGCAUCUCAAAAGCUACGUGCCUUUGGAACAAAGUGAGCUUUGUACAUUUGCUGGUGCCGUUUGUGGCAGAGGACUUUCUCGGAUUGCUCUGGAAUGAUGAAGAGGGUGUCUCUCGUCCAAGAACUGAAAUGAUACCUUCAGGUACUCGAAAUUCCAAAGGGUUCACAUGGAAUCACAAGUCAGCUGAAGGUAAGUGAGCUGUCAAUGUGCAACAUUUUUAUGUUUGUAGUUUAUUCCAGGCUGAUUAUUUACAUCAAAUGACUCUAUACAUUAUACUUACAAUAUCGAUUUUAAUUGGUAGUCGAAUCAAGCACAAAGACAACAUUAAUAUGUAAGUUUAAUUGAAUUUUUAUUCUUUGUUUUUUCUUUAAGUUUAUUUAUCUUGAGAGAGAGAGAGAUUGAGAGAGAGAGGAGAGUUGGGGAAGGGCAGAGAGAAAGAGAAAGAAAGAA